rnacentral:lncRNA from 1 species
AGGGGUCUGAGUGGUGAUUAGGACACUAUCACACCCUAGUCCAGGGUCAACACAUAAAAGGGGUUAAGGGAAUGGGAUUAAUUUGAGUGGAGGUUCAAAAUAACCUGAUCUUAAAUCAAGGACAACAAUGAGAUGCUACCUCAACUUUGGACAUACUCACAUACAAGGGGGAUUAAUGGGAAAGGGGAUCACAUGAAAGCAAGCAUCAAGGAGAGAUAAGAUAAC